rnacentral:misc_RNA from 1 species
UUUCCGUAGGUGAACCUGCGGAAGGAUCAUUACCGAGUGAGGGCCCUCUGGGUCCAACCUCCCACCCGUGUUUGUCGUACCUUGUUGCUUCGGCGGGCCCGCCUCACGGCCGCCGGGGGGCACCCGCCCCCGGGCCCGCGCCCGCCGAAGACACCAUUGAACGCUGUCUGAAGAUUGCAGUCUGAGCAUCUUAGCUAAAUCAGUUAAAACUUUCAACAACGGAUCUCUUGGUUCCG